UAGACUUGAAUGAAUUCGGUUUGUAUUGUAGUAACAGAAGUAACUACGAUGUUACAAAGUUUGUGAAAGUUUUUCGCCUUCUAAAUUAAAAAAAAUGCGGAUGAACAAAAAAGAUAGUUUUUACUAAAUGGAAGAAUUUUUGCCAAAUACAAACUUAACAACUUUUCAUAAAGUUCUCAGUAUGGAAAGCAUCAAUCCAAAAAUAAAGAAAUUGGAAUAUGCAACAACAGUUACAAUUCUUACUGCAGAAAAGCUUGAAAAGGAUAUGAGGGAGGGUAAGAAACUUUUAUUCAACAAAAUAACUAAAGCAACUCUUGGUGAUUGUCAUGCUAUGGGACAGAAGCCAAUCAC
rnacentral:lncRNA from 1 species